GGUGUUUUCUUUCAUCACUGCUGAUGAACUGACAGCAGAUCAAGUGAUGUGAAGUUUGUGUUGCGUCACAGCGGGGAUGUGAGCGCGAGCGGCUCCACACACGUUGACGCGUGGCGCAGUUUGGACUGGAUCCGCGCAUUAACCUCGGUCUGUGAGGCUGAACUGAGGAUACUCCAUGCGUAACGCGUUUGCGUUACUUCACAUUAAUCCAGCCGGGUAUCACCAGCACGUAUAGCGUUUCUUAAGGAGUAUCUUGGAUUUCCGGACGCAGAAAAUAGCAUAAAGAAUUGCUCUGUGGCAGCUGCACUUGUGAAGAGCGCUCGUCUCGUCUCUGGCAUUGUGGAAUGGCUGGAGAGAUGAUGCUGAUACAGUGCCAGACGCGAAGAGGCUGAACACUGCGGGAAGUCAAACAGGGCACAGAGGAUCAAGUCUGGACAAAGACGGCAUUCUAUUUACCCUCAAUUGAAUGUGAGCUCUCGCUGACCUCCAAUAUUUAAAAUGGGGUUGUCAUGGAAACUGCUGGUGCUGCAAUUAUUCAUGGGAUGCCUUUCAGGCAGCGGUCCUCUGAGGCCAGUAUUCACCAAACAGCCGGGAAGUAUUGUAUUCCCUCUCCAUCUUAAUGAGCCCAGCCGGGAGGUCACCUUCAGCUGUGAAGCCCAGGGACAUCCGCCCCCGUCCUACAGGUGAGAUCCCAGUGUACCAUGGAUUUUGGUAUCAAAAAGCCAAUAAUAGCUGUAUUUGAUCAUUUUUUGUCAGUGGCAAAGACAAACAGACAAUCCAUAUUACCUGAUUAACCUGUUCAAUCUAAGCUUGAGUUCGAGUGUAAGGACCUUGAAAGUUUUCCUGAGCUCUCAGCACAUGUUGGGUAUUUCUAACAUGAAGGGAACUCUUUUUCAAGUCGCCAAGGACAGAUUAAUUUAUCAAAGAGUGAAG
ensembl:lncRNA